GCCCGCCUAGCUCAAUUGGUCAGAGCGUCAGACUUUUACGGUCUCUGCGUCGAGCAUUGGUUCAUCUGAAGGCUGCGAGUUCGACCCUCGCGGUGGGCU
rnacentral:tRNA from 1 species